UACGUAGGGUGCAAGCGUUGUCCGGAAUUAUUGGGCGUAAAGAGCUCGUAGGCGGCCUGUCGCGUCGGCUGUGAAAACUCAGGGCUCAACCCUGAGCCUGCAGUCGAUACGGGCAGGCUAGAGUCCGGCAGGGGAGACUGGAAUUCCUGGUGUAGCGGUGAAAUGCGCAGAUAUCAGGAGGAACACCGGUGGCGAAGGCGGGUCUCUGGGCCGAUACUGACGCUUGAGGAGCGAAAGCGUGGGGAGCGAACAGG
rnacentral:rRNA from 1 species